rnacentral:rRNA from 1 species
GCGUGAAUGAAGAAGGCCUUAGGGUUGUAAAGUUCUUUCACCUGUGAAGAUAAUGACGGUAGCAGGAGAAGAAGCCCCGGCUAACUCCGUGCCAGCAGCCGCGGUAAGACGGAGGGGGCUAGCGUUGUUCGGAAUGACUGGGCGUAAAGGGCGCGUAGGCGGUUUUUUAAGUUAGGCGUGAAAGCCCCGGGCUUAACCCGGGAGGUGCGUUUAAUACUGGAAAACUUGAGUGUGAGAGAGGAAAGUGGAAUUCCUAGUGUAGAGGUGAAAUUCGU